UGGCUGACUUUACCUGAGAUCUACUU
rnacentral:piRNA from 1 species